AGAGUUUGAUCCUGGCUCACGAUUAACGCUAGCGGCAGGCCUAAUACAUGCAAGUCGAACGGCAGCGGGUGUAGCAAUACAUGCCGGCGAGUGGCGCACGGGUGCGUAACACGUAUGCAAUCUACCCUUAACUGGAGGAUAGCCCCGAGAAAUCGGGAUUAAUACUCCAUAAUAUUAUUCUGGGGCAUCUCAGGGUAAUUAAAGCUCCGGCGGUUUUGGAUGAGCAUGCGCGACAUUAGCUAGUUGGUGAGGUAACGGCUCACCAAGGCUCCGAUGUCUAGGGGUUCUGAGAGGAUUCACCCCCACACUGGUACUGAGACACGGACCAGACUCCUACGGGAGGCAGCAGUAAGGAAUAUUGGUCAAUGGACGCAAGUCUGAACCAGCCAUGCCGCGUGAAGGAAGACGGCCCUACGGGUUGUAAACUUCUUUUGUACGGGAAAAAACCCUCGCUCGUGAGCGAGGCUGAUGGUACCGUAAGAAUAAGCAUCGGCUAACUCCGUGCCAGCAGCCGCGGUAAUACGGAGGAUGCAAGCGUUAUCCGGAUUCAUUGGGUUUAAAGGGUGCGCAGGCGGAAUGAUAAGUCAGUGGUGAAAUCCUACAGCUCAACUGUAGAACUGCCAUUGAUACUGUUGUUCUUGAGUACACUUGGAGUGGGCGGAAUGUGUCAUGUAGCGGUGAAAUGCUUAGAUAUGACACAGAACACCGAUCGCGAAGGCAGCUCACUAAAUUGUAACUGACGCUCAUGCACGAAAGCGUGGGGAUCAAACAGGAUUAGAUACCCUGGUAGUCCACGCUGUAAACGAUGAUCACUCGAUGUUGGCGAUAUACUGUCAGCGUCUAAGCGAAAGCAUUAAGUGAUCCACCUGGGGAGUACGAUCGCAAGAUUGAAACUCAAAUGAAUUGACGG
rnacentral:rRNA from 1 species